UACAACCAACAAAAACAAAUAAGGAAAAAACCAAAGAAAAUAUGUACGAUAUUAAGUUAGCUUCAAAAAUUGAAUCUUAACUUCAUAAUCCCAAUACCAUAAUCUUAACGAUACCCAUUUAGCCAGUGAAGGAAGAAAAAUAAAACCUAGGAAAUUCUCCUACGAAAAUAUUGAAUCUCUAGCCUUAAGCCAUUUUCAUUAACGUCUAAAAAUACAAAAGUAAACCACCGAAAUAUAUAUAUAUGUACUCAUUAUAAGUGCCAGCCAUUCACCCAUAAAAAACUUACCAGAAAAACCAGCAAUUGAAAUAGGAAAGGCAAAACUUUGACAAUAAUAAAGCUGCAAAAUUUAUACAUGGGUAAUAACAGACAAAGAGAAGGGGGAAGGGGAGG
rnacentral:misc_RNA from 1 species